GAAGUGGACACAAAGAUGGAUAGUCUAGAAUAUGAGAAGUGGACAAACAGCUGUGAGAGCCUGCAGAAAUGUUUAGAAGAAAGCAAGAUAAAACAUGAAAAGGUGGAGGUUACAACAGAUGAUUGUGUAGCACCUUUGAGAGAAGCCUCCAACCCAGGAAGAGGAAAGGAUUCCCAGUGGAUAAGGAAGACUGAGACACAGGACAGAUCAGAAAGGUUUAGAGAACUCAGAAAAAGAAUGACACGUAUCUUGGCCACUUUUGUUCCUGCUCCAGACCUUGAGAAGGUUAUUGAUCAGAUUCUUACUCAGGAUAUAGAUGAGAUGUCCUCUACAGAUGUAUUAUUUGGUUGGUACAUUUAUUUAAAGCACAAGUGCUUAUUUGUCAAUUUAUUAUACUGACUUGAAUAUUUAAAAACAUAUUAAUACAAAAGCUGUUUGUGUAGUUUUCUUUCAAAUAUUGUAACACACUAGGCUCUGUGUAAAACUCCACACAGAGUAUCCAAAGUUCAGGAUUAAUUAUAUUUGUAAUUUGUUUUUCUUUGCAUGUGGCUUUUAUGGAAUGUGAAGGAGCAGACAGUUGUUCGAAAUCUACACAGCACUGUCACACCAAACAUCACUCAGCAGCCACAGAUCCUGAAUUAGUUCAACACUGUACUGACAGUAGUGCCUAUAGGUUUCUGUGCUCUCAUGCUGGUGUGUUUUUCUGUAAAAUGACCAACAUUUCUAUUGAGAUGAAAGGGAGUGGAGAAGUGUUGUACACAGUACUUCCCUGGGACAAAAGUCAGUUGCAUGGCAUGGGCCAGUUCAUGCCUGCAGGGCACCUGUAUAACAUUAACUGCUCUGACGAUUCAAUUCGUUAUCUGCACCUUCCACACUGUGAGAUACCUACUGGUAAGUUAAUUUAAGGUUAUAAUGUUAGGAUUAUAAUCAACCUAAUAAAAAGAGAAAUACAAAUCACAUUUUACAUAAAUAAUUAUGUGUGAAUGUAGAAUUACUGGUUACAGUAACAUAAGUGAAAGAUUUGUAUUAUAAAAAGGCAGUUUAUUAAUUUUUUUUUACUUCUUCAUGUAUACAAAUGAUCGACAUAGGUCAUCCAUAACCUUGAAACCAUUGAUAUUUGAAGUAAGUAACAUUUUAUAGCAAGUUCAUUUCAGGAAAUUUUCAAGAAAUUUACUUAAAUCAAUAAAACUCAAACAAAGAUCAUCUCUUUUUUUACAUGGUACUUUUACAAGUUUUACAGAGAAUGGCACAGGGUACAGGGUGCUUCUCUUAAAAGACCAAUGUCACUGGGUACAUUAAGUGCAUUUGGAUUAGGUCGAGAGGGAUGUUUGAGUCACUUGAGAAAGAGGAGCAGGAGUUUGCAUCAACUAUCUUGGUAGUGGGGUGGGGUGCUGUUGAGCAGUCCAUUUUCCUUCAAGUCUUAAGCUUUUUUAGAACAAAGAGCUCAGUGAGAGAGUUAAGAAUGUAAAUUCCAGGCUUGACCAGAAACCUCUUAUUCAGAAAUAAAAUGUCAGUUAAGAGCACAAAGGAAAUAUAACAUGAGGAUUAAUAGAAACUAUAAUGCAUGGGCCCAGUGUACAUGUAAGAGAAACUAGGACAUGAAACAUGGAAAGUACAGAUAAGAGAUAUGAGAAACAAAGAAAGUUGUAUAAAGGUAUGCAGCAUAAAAAACUCACAGAAAUGCUGCUAACAUUAUGAACAUGUUGAAAAGUGCUAGAAAAACGUAUUUUAACAAGAAACUUGAAACAACAAAUUCUCAUUCACCUAUGUAAUAUUUCACUCAAUAUUGUAAAAUAGGAUUCAAAUGAUCCAUAAGGUUAUGAGCGUUAAUAUUAUUUACAGUAUAGGCUGUUAGUCCUCUGCAUGCUGCCAAAACAGUUUCAGCCCACUGAGGCAUGUGUUUUACAAGAAAAUCUUACAUCAUGACCAUAGCAACAGAUCCUUUAAGUCCUGUGGCAUAGAGCAGCCUUGUUGUUCCAGAACAUCCCAUAAAUGCCGAAUUGGAAUGAGAUCUGGGUAUUUGGUGUCAGGACAGCACCUUGAACUGUGUCAUGUUUCUCAAGCCAUUCCUGAACAUUUGUACAAUGUAUUAUCCUGCUGAAAGAUACCAUGAUCAGCUUCAAAAUAUCAUCUCCAUUAAAGUGUUCUUGUGUAGUGGAACUGGCAAGAUGCACACAAUAAUGUUUGCUAUAAUCCUUAUAAUUGCCAACUGUUCGCUUAUAAUGUCUAUUACAGAAUCCAAUCUCAGACCUUGACACUAUUCCCUUUGUCUUUGGUCAUAAUGUUUUGGUUCAUUGUUGUAUUUAAUGACACUUUAUAACAUAAUUUUAAAAAUAACUUACUUUUCCUUUUUCUUAUA